rnacentral:lncRNA from 1 species
UCCCUUCCUUCUCGUGCCGGUGUGCACAUUCGCCGAUGACCAGAGUCAUCAAAUUUUGUCGUGGGAGAGUUUUUGGUUUUUUUGAUUUUCGAGCAUCGGUGGUCGUCGUCGGCCAUCGGUUUGGAUUCCUUCGGACGACGGGUCACCCUCCUCCUGCCGUCGGUCAUCCCCAUAUCGGUCGACCACUGGUCGGCCAACCAAACG